UACGUAGGGUGCAAGCGUUGUCCGGAAUUAUUGGGCGUAAAGAGCUCGUAGGCGGUUUGUUGCGUCGGCUGUGAAAUCCCGAGGCUCAACCUCGGGUCUGCAGUCGAUACGAGCAAACUAGAGUGUUGCAGGGGAGACUGGAAUUCCUGGUGUAGCGGUGAAAUGCGCAGAUAUCAGGAGGAACACCGGUGGCGAAGGCGGGUCUCUGGGCCGAAACUGACGCUGAGGAGCGAAAGCGUGGGUAGCAAACAGG
rnacentral:rRNA from 1 species